AAGGGUCUCCUGGAAAGAUUGCGGGUCAACCUUAAUAGGGUGUGUGAUGUUCGGGGUAUACUAUAAGGUUGUUUUUCUCUUCCGAUCCUUUUUUUCGACGAAUCCUUUUAUAUCUCCUCUGAAAGGCAACAAAGAUGGUUGAAAAGGUAUCAGAAGUUUCUCUUACUGGAUGUGCCUGUGAUGAGGGGGUUCAAAUUCAAGAAGAGCAGAAAAACAAACAUCACCUCUAUCACUUUCAUUCAUUCGACUGUAUUUGGAUUUUCAAUUAUCUUUAAUUUUCAAUUAUUGUUUCUCUCUGAAUUGGAUUUUUUAUGUUUUUCUUUCUUCAUUUUUUGGAUUUUGUAGCGGUUCAAAUGUAUUCUGGAGGUACUUUAACACCACGACCCUGACUAUUUAAUGAAUUCGACUAUCUCUUUAUCCAUAUCAACACCACCUACGCCCUGCAGACACUCUACGAAUCCGAUUCGUGAUUUGAGAGGUACCUUACAGGCCAAUUAUCUCUUGCUAUACUGUGUUUCUGACUUUACGGAAUAUAUGUCUAGAAGUGAAGUGAUAAGAAAGAGUGGAUAUCUGCUAGAUGUACAAAUGGCCAUUGGAAAAUGUGAAGUAGGGCCUGAAGAUGUGUAAUGUCUACGACUACAUGCUCAGUCUACUUUAUAUUAGUUCAUACUAAAUCCCACUUACGUUGGAAAUUGUAUCUGUUGUCUUUGCUCAAACGGAAGAGCACAUGGUUCCUACCGAUGUCAUUAUCAUGUGAGUAGGCAGCGUUGUAUGCUUCCAAUGGAAAGAAAAUUGAUUUCGUUAUUUGAUUCUCUCA